rnacentral:snoRNA from 1 species
CUUGAUGAAAGUGAAAGAGGAUCUGUAGUUUCCUUUACUCAUAGAACUACCUGUUAGAUCUGUGGCAAAGAACUACAAGACAUAG